rnacentral:lncRNA from 1 species
GAACAGUCCCAUGGUAGCAUGCAAAUCUCAAGAGUUGUGGGAAAAGAUGAAGAGGCAGGACUGAAGAGCAGUAAGAAAAUAGGAAGAGGGAGGACUGAAUGGUAAAGUAAAAAGGCAGAACACAUAUCAGAAGUGAUCUUACUGACAGAGGGGCUGGGUGGCACUGCUGGCAUUCAAAUCACGUCAUUUGGCAACACAGGAGAAACAUCGAGAAGAGGUUGAAAAACUACAGCAGCUAAAAAAGUGACAUAAACUCAGAAAGGAGUUCAAAGCAGAUGAUACAAACAAAAUGCAGUUUGGGGCGAAAGAAGGGCUUGAUUUCACACAGUCUGAAAUGUACCUCAAAAGAUACAUGUAAAAGAGAUGCACCGAGAAGCAUCAGCUUAUGAAGCAGCCUUAAGAAAAUAAUUUGGAGAAGACUUUUCUCUUAAAGUAUUUGAAAUGUGGCUGAACAAAGCACUGGGAAUUAAGGCAGAGAAAAUUAACCUAGGAAGAGUUAGAUAGUACAAAAGAUCUUUUCUCAUUAGUACAGUUUUAAAAUUUUCCACAUUUGUGCUCCUUUUUUUCUGUUCCUUUGCUCUAAAUACUUCUAGAAGAGGCACUAACAGAAAAAAUGUGGAGAUAGAGGAGCAGCCAUUUUCAUGCCACACUUACAUACCACCGAGAGGGCAAUGAAUUCAUGGAGACUGAGCUAUAAGUAUUGUCCAUUAGGUGUUAGUAAAAUUUCAAGGGGCUAUGGAUUAAAAGGAAAAGAAUCCUGUCUUUCUAAUCUGUUAUAGAUGGUCAUUUCUCUGAAAC